AUUGAACGCUGGCGGCAGGCCUAACACAUGCAAGUCGAGCGGAUGAAGGGAGCUUGCUCCUGGAUUCAGCGGCGGACGGGUGAGUAAUGCCUAGGAAUCUGCCUGGUCGUGGGGGAUAACGUCCGGAAACGGGCGCUAAUACCGCAUACGUCCUGAGGGAGAAAGUGGGGGAUCUUCGGACCUCACGCUAUCAGAUGAGCCUAGGUCGGAUUAGCUAGUUGGUGGGGUAAAGGCCUACCAAGGCGACGAUCCGUAACUGGUCUGAGAGGAUGAUCAGUCACACUGGAACUGAGACACGGUCCAGACUCCUACGGGAGGCAGCAGUGGGGAAUAUUGGACAAUGGGCGAAAGCUUGAUCCAGCCAUGCCGCGUGUGUGAAGAAGGUCUUCGGAUUGUAAAGCACUUUAAGUUGGGAGGAAGGGCAGUAAGUUAAUACCUUGCUGUUUUGACGGUACCAACAGAAUAAGCACCGGCUAACUUCGUG
rnacentral:rRNA from 1 species